GCCUGGGUGGCUCAGUCGGUUGAGCAUCCGACUUUGGCUCAGCAUGAUCUCGCAGUUCGUGAGUUCAAGCCCCACAUUGGGCU
rnacentral:tRNA from 1 species